GAAAACAAAACCUUUAACCUGAAAAUAUAGAUAUCAAAAUGUUUAAACAUUACAGUGAAAUUUGACUGGGUUCAGACCAAUAUAGCCAUUUAAAUUAAACAAAUAAAAAAAACUGUCCCCAUAGGAUCAUGGCAGAAAAUGCUCCCAGGAGAUAAAAAUGGUAUGGACUUUCCUCCAAGGAAGUAGAAGUGCAACCAUUGUCAUGAAUACGGCCGGGAGAUGAUGUCCUACACAAACCAAACUAUCCAACCUGCGUGCAGGAAAGUUUUUUCACCAUGUAAACUAUUCAUUUACCUGAUAUAGUAAAACUUGUAUAUCUUGAGAAAUAAUAGAAAAGGAUACUACACUGCAGUCAUUAUUAUAAGAUUUAAUGAUAUUUAUUUAGGCGAUUUAAAGAUAAUUACUACCCCGCACAUGAGAAACAACAGGAAAGAAAAAAAGGUCGUACAUCCUUUCACGAUGCAUCUAUUCCUCAAAUCUCAAUACUAUAGCUAACAGAACAUGAAUUUGUCCACAAAGCAACUAUGAGAAAGCAACCAACCCACCUCUCACAAAAGGAUGAAAGCACUACAUGGAACGGUAGGUGUUAAGAGGAGCAUAAUCCAACCAUUACUGCAAGUAAAAAUGAGACCAAAAUACGUGAGAGCACUGUUUAUCAAAUGAAUGUUACUAGAAACAAAAAGCGAAACUGUACGAAUUGUACUUGUAUAAGCUUAGGAAUAGCACUCAAGCUUCUGGGAAAGUGCUUUGAACUAUUACAUGUGGCAAAAACCAUACAACAUUGUCAAGUCAGCAAUUAACAUGCAAUCCAAUUUAUGCCAACCAAAUUGCAUUACAUGCAUGCUUUAAUCCACAUAACACUCAAAAAACUGAGGCAACCAAUAGGACAUAGCCUGGAUGGAGUUUCUUCCCAUAUGGACACAAUUACUCAUCAGAAUAGCAUCUCCUUUGCACAACAGGAGAAUGGGGGCAGAUAUGGAAAAAAUGUUAAAUCCAAAAUAAAUUGUCAACACCCUAAGCAAAUGCUGCAUAAUGUUUAUUGUAUUAUUUCCUAAAAUAUUGUACUUAAAAAUGCUUAUGAGAUAUAUUGUCCUUGCAAUACCAUUUCACUUGUCAUAUAUCUUACCCAGAAAAUGAGAAAAGAUCGACAUUCCAACAACUGCCAAAACAUAGGUGUGACGUUCAUGACAUAGGAGCGCUAUUAAGCUUGAGUUAACCAGAUAUUUAAGGGAAUAUUCCACUUUAUUAAUACCAUAGUAGAGAUCAUAUAUCAGCUAAUCAGAAAGUCAGAUAUACUACAUACCAUGGAUAAUUCACAUAUAUGAAAAAUAUUUUAUAAGCACAUUUAAGACAAGAAUGAUGCGGAAAUGGAAAUUUUAAAAUAGAAACAAAAAGGACAUACUGUUUUGAAAUAUUUGGACCACAAGUUAGAUGCAAAGUUUUAUUUGUAAACUUGUUAAGUAUAUAACCAGUCGACAAAUAUUAUCACAUUUUGAAACUUCACAAAAAAUGAGUAGGUAAACUUUUGUUGACCAAAUUUUGAGUUCCUAAACAAAAAUCAUUAUUACCCUUAACUCCAACAUUCGUGUUAUUACUAAUGAGCCUCAUGAACAUCCUUUCUGCAUCACCCCUCUUAUAUCUACACAUCACAUCAAAUCAAAAGGGAAGUAUGGUCUUCUGCACUCAAGAUUUCCUUGGCUUUUGAAAAGUGACAAUCAUUCUGAAACAAAAUAAAGCUAAAAUUGAUCUUUGGGAAAUUGAGGGACUAGUAUUUAGACAUUCGUUGGUUACCAUACAGUUUCUGACACGAAUGUACUUCUCGUACAUGUCAUUCCUAUGCAGAGACCCUUAUAUAGCCUUUUUUUUCCUUUUUUUGAGGAGUCGGGCACAAAAAUAGUUAUGCAGCAAGUAUAUGAACAAGACAAGUCGCUGGUAAGUCAUAACAUGGGGUCUCAAGUGCCGUGAAAAGAAAUAC
rnacentral:lncRNA from 1 species